rnacentral:misc_RNA from 1 species
CAACCCUCAAGCCUAGCUUGGUAUUGGGUGCCACCGGCAUGGUGCACCUUAAAUCUAGUGGCGGUGCCAUCUGGCUUCAAGCGUAGUAAUACUUCUCGCUCUGGAGGUCUACAUGGUUGCUUGCCAAAACCUCAUCACUUCUCAA